CUAUCCUCAAUUCCUCAGCCCCGAUCUUCUCUUCUCUUUCCGUCGCUCGAUCCCCUCCGCUAACCUCCUCCUAGGGUUCGUCGCCGCCUCCCUUCCCGCUGCAAGCUGCAACCCUCCCGUCCCCUUCCUCUGGUCGCCACCUCCUCUGGUCGCCACCUCCUCACGCUGUCCUCCACGCCAGGUUCGGGCGGAGGCCGUCCCGCACCCGCCCUCCUCAUCGAGCCGCCGCUGCCGUGCCUCCUCCCCCACGUCCAUCUCCGCACGGGCAGCCUUGCCGCCACCCCCGCCUGGCCUCCUUCCCUUUUUUCUCCCCAUCUCGGCCUGUACCUUCGUCAUCCGCUCCAGGAGGGGGGCUGUUGCCUCUGCACACCAUCGCUUCGGUCCGUGGGAGGCCGCCGCAGGGCGCGAUCUAGCCGCCGCACCCACAGCUAAGUUUCCCCCCAUCCCCGAUUUCAUUCCUCCAUGUGCUCUCCUCCCAUGGCGGUGCCCUAAUAGGCCAAGGGAUAGCAGCUGGCUCGUCGUGGUUUUUCUCCGACGAGGCUCCUCACAUAUGGCAGCGGCAGACGGCAGUUGGAUUGUAGUCCAAAUCCAGCAGCUAGCAAGGCUUCUUGAUUUUUGUCCGAGUGCUUCUGAUAUGAUAUCCAGCUUCCAUCUGAAUUUUCAUGAGACGCGCUGUGUAGCUAUGACAAUGAGCUAUUUUAAAUUAGUUAUUCUGGAGAAAAUUGCAGUUCAUUAGUGAUUACUUGCAGCAAAUUUAUUGAAAGGUUGGAUGGAUCUCUGAGUUCAGUCCGUCUAAUGGAAGUAUGGAACUUGAAAUUGUGCAGGAUGAGCUCGGGUUUGACAUCGUGCAGGGGCAAGCAAUGUGUUCAAGAAAAUGCUUGUGAAGAAAUAUGAACGUGUGUCAGGUUAAAAGUAUCUAACUUAUCCAUCUGUCAUUUCAAACUUCUACAGAAUAUCUGGAAGAAUAAAUUUUGAGUUGGCAGAAUUUACGUCUCUUCCAGUAGUUUUUUUUAUUCAACAUGUAAUCCUAAUUUCUUGAAAGCAUGCACAUGUUCUUUUGCAUAUUUUACCUCUCUUCCAGUAGAGGAUUCUCAGUAGUGUUCCCAUUUGUAUCUUGAAGCUUGUAUAAUGGUGAUCUAUGCGUGUGCCUCGCUGUCUAACCAUGGCACGGGCCGGGCUCAAGCCGGAGCGGGUAGAAGGAGCUCCGCCUCCUUGCCGCCAACGGCAGGAACAACAAGGGAUCAACUUCGACGAGUUUACCUACUGCAGAUAGGAGGACAACCAAAUGGCAUUAAUAAUAGACAUUCAGGUAUAUAUCUAUCUCAUAUAUCUUGUCAUGAUAAAAUCUAGAGUAGUUUCAGAAUCCUUUUACUGAAGAAAUUUCUUCACUAAAUAAUUUGUCGGUUGCACGAUGCGCGUCAGUUUCGAACGCAUCUCUGUUAUGUUCAACUAAUUUCAUCAGAUUAGAUGUCUGCAUCAGAUGUAUUUUUGUGGUCAUUUUGGAUCAUGCAGAUGAAUAAAAUAUGGGAAAGUAUGUGCCGCAUAAAGUGUGUAAUCACUGUAAAUGUAAAUACUUAAGCGUUUUAGUUGGUGAACUGAAUUCCAUGGUUCAUCUCAGAAAAUUGAAACUGUGGUUGAAAUUUGAAAUAAACGAUGCAAACCAUCUGAUAACAAAAAUAAUCAUGUUGCCUCUGUAAUUCCUAAUUUUCCAGUCAAUAAGAGAGAAAAUUCUUUCCGCACUUCAAUCGUUCAACUCAUUCCUUUUGGUAUUGUCCUCAAUAGUGUUCACAAGGUUACCAAAGUGCUUGUAUCGGCAUAAUGGUUUUCUGGAUAUCUGGAACACAUUGAUUUUUGUUGCUGAACUUUCCUGUACCAUAUGUUAGUUGGUUCUAUCACUGGUUGCCAUGCUAUACCCAGAAGUCCAGAACCAAUGAUAGCAUAUUAGGAGCUCUCCUAGCUCAACACCGGGUGCAUGUUAUCUUAACAGUGAGGGUGAGAAUUAUCAUUGAGGUCUGUGUCAAAGUGUCCACUAAAGGCAAUAUCACCUUAGCUUGUUCCAGGAUCAAGAAAGCUGCAGCUUGUGGGUAUGUGUUCCUUUCUGCAUUUCUGAAGAUUUUUUUUGUAGCAGAAGCUAAUGCACAUUUGGUGAAGUUUAUGGGUCAUGAGAUGGAUGGAUCCAUGGUCAUCAAUAAACACCGGGUAUCAUCAAAUGUGUUGUUACAUCAGACCGGGCAAGGCAUGUGUGAUGGGGAAUUGGGAGGAGACUAGCAGCUUCUACUGAGUGCCUUCUGUUCUGCCUUCUGCACUUUUAGGAAACUAAUGUUUUUGGAGGCCUGCAAGUGUUUACUUCAAUUUAAGUUACUUCUCGACUAUUAUCUUUAUAGAUUUUUUGAACCAAGAAUCAUUUAUGCCAUAUGAUACUACUUAAAGAUAUAACCAAAGAUUUACUCCUAAAUAUAAAAGAGUGGUCGCUUGCUCCUCGCAUCCUUUUGUGACAAAAAAAACACUCCUUGUCUCUUUCUAAUGGAAGCAAUUAAAUAUAAUGUGAAAAACCAAAAUGUUGGUAAUGUUUGUCACCGGAAUUAGGAUAAAUUUACUAGCAAGUGUUGUGAAUACAUAAUAGUGGUUUUAGUCUAAUUUAUCUGUAGUGAGUAGUCUAAUUUGGUUUAACUGUAUCAGCGCAAAUGUAAAUGUAAUAUUGAAGAAAGUAUGAUUUUCUUGCGAGGAUAUUAUUUGAGAAGUAUGCCAAACUGUUCGCGAACCACAAAUGACUUUAUCAUCAAUUUAUUUCGUCGGAACGAAGCAUGUCUUCCAUUUUUAAAAAUAAUAUCAAAGUAAUUUGCAGUGUCAUUAGUCAACCAUACAUAUGACUUUACUGAAAAAAAAAAUCAACAUACAAAAUGUUCUUCCGUGGGCACCGGUAAAAUGUAAAAAAAACAGUCCGACGAGCCCCCUUUUGACGAGAAAACCGAGCAAAAAAAAGAACCAUCCAGUCCGAUCCCGAUAGGAUUGCCCCGCGUCCGCCGCCACCCUUUCCCCGUCCUCGCCUCCGCCGCUGCUGCCGCCCUUUCCCACCUCAGCAGCCGCUGACCUCCAGCGCUUCCAGUGCUUCGCCGUUCUCGCCGUCAUGGGGCUCCCUCUUCCUCCUCGUGCGGUCGCCGCCACUCUAUAUGGUUCCCCACCUCCGCCCUCCCAUGGCGUCCCCUCCGUAUCCCCUUCCCAUGGCGCUCCCUCUCUCUGAUGUGGUUCCUCUCCUUGCUCUUGAAACAACAACAUGGUAUCGAAUCUAAUCGUUCCUAUCCUGCGGGUUAAUUGGAUUUCAAAAUAGCACGUUGAAGCAAUCAAGGCUGGAAAAGUGUACUAAUCUGUGAGACAUGUGAAGAAUUAGUGGUCUCUAAACUGACAAGUGACGACCUGGGAGCGCAAGGACUGCGGAGGAGAAAGGAUUCGGGGACGAGAAGGCCAGGGCCAGUUGUGCUGCAGCUGGGGAGAAGUGCUUAGUAGUAGAACAACAGGGAGGAGGACGAGCUGAGCAAGGAGAGUAUGAGAAGUAGUAAAAGUGUUAAGGUACAGCCUUGGAGUUGAGAAAACCAGUUUUUGUUGUCCAAGAGAAAAACUGAAUUUUUACUUGCUUUUGUGAUGUUCUGAUGCUUGAAGAGGGGAUUAGGGAAACCUUGGCUUGAGUAAUUGUUGUUCGCAGUGGAAACCAAGUGAGGUGUUUUUUCAGAUGCUUAGUGUUACCAUUAGCUCAACAAGAAGCAAAGAAAUCAAGGAUCGAUUGUAGAUUCGAUUUUUGAGGGAGAGAGUGCUGGUGAACCUUUGAGAAUUUAAGCUUCAGAGAAAAAGAGUUAGAUACAGAGGUAUAGAAAACUUAUGUUCUUGUAGUUUAACCACUUGCAUGGCUUGGUGAAAUAAUUAAGACCAGUGUAUGUGUGCACAUAGGGGCACUGAUAAAUCAGUUUCAGGCCUUGUGUGUAGAUAUAGCAGGUUGUGUCAAAUUAGAAAAUCAUUAGUUCUAUUAAAUAGUAAAAUCUGAGAGUAUGUAUGUCCAGUACACAAGCAUGUAUUUGAUCUGAGAACUGCAAUUGGUCACCAAAUCCUUGACUGCUACUGUAUGAAUUAAGGUGGUGUUGCUUUUUAUGUGUAUGCGAUGGUUGUAUGCUUGUUCAGUAGAACAGAUAUGAAGUGUGGCAGCGGGCUUAUAAUUUUUUUUGUUCAGAUAAAUGGAUGCACUGGAGUUGCAUAUCUGUGUAUGUUCAAGUUUCUGUACAAGUAAUUUCUGGUUCAGAGAAUUGAUGUUAGCUCUGUGUGGUCAUUUCAUUUUAAGACUUGUACAUCAUCAGAUUCACUUGUAGUGUCAUUUCUUUUUGUAAGCAGAUGGGAAUACUAAUUCAGUGUGUUGAGAUCUUUUUUCUACAUGUAUCAUAUUCUUCAGAUUUACAUACCUUAACCUAGCCCUGUGCUUGCUCCUAGCUCAUAUCAGAUGAACUUUUUUCUAUUAAUUUUCAUCUUUUUACCUUGCAGUACGUCACCCUUUUUUUUCCUUUGCAUCAUUUUGAGAUCCAUCGUUCAAAUUCAUGAAUAAAUGCUGUUCUUUUUUCAGAUUGGGAAAAGCACUGAGAAAAAAAGGUUAUUCAUGAGCUCCUUAUCUCUGUUAAUUUUUCCUUAUCUCUCCUUACCCAAGAAGGUAUGCUUUGGAACAAUAUAUCCUGUGGAAACACCGAGGAAGGUGAUGGAAGUGGAGGGAUUGACUUCUUGAGGAUGGAAAAUUGGUAUCUUAAGUGAAGGGAGAAAAACUGUAUGUGUUUUGAACAGGAAACACCCAUUCAGGAUAGAGGAUCCGAUCUAGGCAUUUUUCUUGAGGAUGAAAUUAAUUUCUUUGUUGGUUUCUCACGCUUCAGUUCAGACAAUGCUUUUCAUUUGGAAAUUUGUUCUUCUGGACUUAAUUAAUGAAAUUGUGAAUUUUAGUUAUCUAUCUAAAUAGAUCAGACUAAUGCAUUUCAUUUA